AUGCCAAAGAUGAAGAGGAAGCAACUUCUUCUUCUUGUUUUUGCACUUCUCAUGCUUAUAGCUCCAGAUGCAGCAGAGUCAGGCAAGUCCUUAACUUUUAAAUUUGCUAAUAAUAUGAGAUGUUGAAGGUCAAUGAAAAACCAAGUUAACACUUUCUCCUUUGUUUCCUUCUAAUGCUUGCUUUAGUGCUUGAAUUUGAAACUGCCCCAGCAAGAAAGAGUUUGGUGGCCACAAGAUACAUGUUAGCUACUUGGGUGAGUCUGGUAUUCCACUGUCUACUGCCCAUGAUCGUUUUCAUUUUUUCAGUUUGGCCUGUGAAAUUAAAUUUAGUCAUUGUUUAUUUAAAAUGAUGGGAGAAAUUCAUUGUUUCUGUGGAAAUAGCUCAAUUCCAGGAAGCUGGUUAAAGUUCAAGCUGUUCACAAAGUUCCAUCAGGACCAAACCCCACCGGAAAUCAGAAACCACCAUCCAGGCAAGACUGA
rnacentral:lncRNA from 1 species